rnacentral:piRNA from 1 species
UGAAACUGCUGUUCAGUGAUGUGAGCC